rnacentral:misc_RNA from 1 species
AAAAAAAAGAAAAAAAAAAAACCUGAUUCACUUGAUUCAUUAAUAUUAAAACAGUCUCAUCAACGUGUAACCAUAUCUUGCUAUAUGUAACCUUCAAACCCUUCUGCUUUCUUCAUUACCCUUUGCCUUUCUUCGGUUAAAUUAUGAAGGAUGUUUCAAGAAACAAGUUCUUGCUCUGUUUCCGACCCGUUAUCGACAUGGAUCGAUUUGUUCUCGACUCCAAAGCAGCUGUUAAGCGCUCCAACAAUCAGCAUUUAUCAUAUGUUGGAGCUGAACAGAAUAAGAAUGUGAAGCAUUUAAGGUCCAAAUCUUCGCUUUUGGAUUAUAAAUCCUCAACAAAUUCAGAAAAUUCAUUGAUUAUUCAUUCUCCAAGAAAGACUUGCCUCUCCCGAUUGAUCAAAGCAGUUUCUUUUCAGUCUAUUUUGGUUGGUGUUCUCAAAUUUCUAUUACCCAUUUUAAUUUUUACACUUAAUAACAAUGUUAAUGAUCAUAUAUGUAUAUUUGUGUGCUUUUCUUGUUUUCUUUUUUAAUCUUCAGCCCAAGAAGGUUCGGGAUGAAAGAGGUUUAAGCCAAGAUUUAUAUGGAUCAAAGCAUAAUUCCUCUUCAUCGAACAGCACAGAAUCUUUGAAUACAAGUGAUGAUGAUUCGGUUAAUAACGUAGAGAUUAAAACUAGUAAGGUGUCUUCUCCUUCUUCAUCAUCUUCAUCUUCAUUCAGUUCUUGCUCAUCGGGUUCAACUUCAAUAUCACAACCAAAUAAUAUCUCCAAAUCUUUAUCGAACACAAUGGACUAUUCAAGAACAAAUCAAGAACAAGAAUCCAACCCAAAAACCAUGGGCAACACUGGGAUAUAUUUGCUGCUUUUUAGUCUCACAGUGACAGCCUUUCUGGGUAAGCUCUUUGCAAUAUUCUUCACAUCGAUUUUGCUAUAUUUUGUUUCUCGCAAGCACGUUCUGUACAGUAUUAGCCCAGCAGGGUAUCUGACAAGUUUGCCACAGAGGAAAGAGAGCAAAGAGUCCGCGAUCAUAAUGGAAGGGGUUCUUGAAAAGGACCAAAACCAGUUACAGAGAAGCUAUAAAUUUCUGACAUGAAAAAUUCUCUCUUUCGUGUUUGAUGCUGUCUUCUCUCGGCCACUGGCUUUUCAACCAAACAGAGCCUUUGAACUUGUUUGGGGAAAUUUUUUUUAUUAUUUUUCCUAAAGAGGGAAUGGUUUUAGGUUUUCUAAAACCUUCAAAAGUCUUACUUUUUUUAAUUCAUCGAACUAAUUUUAUUUUGCUUAAAUUUUUUUUUUUCCAUUUUAUCCAAACAGACAACAAAAC